AGCAGCCGCGGUAAUUCCAGCUCCAAUAGCGUAUAUUAAAGUUGUUGCAGUUAAAAAGCUCGUAGUUGAAUUUCGGGGUUAGUAGGUUGGUCAUGCCUCUGGUAUGUACUGGUCUCACUGAUUCCUCCUUCCUGAUGAGCCGUAAUGCCAUUAAUUUGGUGUUGCGGGGAAUUUGGACUGUUACUUUGAAAAAAUUAGAGUGUUUAAAGCAAGCUAACGCUUGAAUACAUUAGCAUGGAAUAAUGAAAUAGGACGUUCGAUCCUAUUUUGUUGGUUUCUAGGAUUGACGUAAUGAUUAAUAGGGAUAGUUGGGGGCAUUAGUAUUCAAUUGUCAGAGGUGAAAUUCUUGGAUUUAUUGAAGACUAACUACUGCGAAAGCAUUUGCCAAGGAUGUUUUCAUUAAUCAAGAACGAAAGUUAGGGGAUCGAAGACGAUCAGAUACCGUCGUAGUCUUAACCAUAAACUAUGCCGACUAGGGAUC
rnacentral:rRNA from 1 species